rnacentral:rRNA from 1 species
CAAGGAGUCUAACAUGUGCGUGAGUCAUUGGGUUAUUGUUAAAAUUGAACAAGCCUGAAGGCGCAAUGAAAGUGAAGGUCGGCCUAAGCGUCGAUCGAGGGAGGAUGGCCCGGGCUCUCUCGGGUACGCACUCCCGGGGCGUCUCACGGUCGUCUCGACCAGAGGCGCACCCAGAGUGUACACGUUGGGACCCGAAAGAUGGUGAACUAUGCCUGGUCAGGACGAAGUCAGGGGAAACCCUGAUGGAGGUCCGUAGCGAUUCUGACGUGCAAAUCGAUCGUCGGAACUGGGUAUAGGGGCGAAAGACUAAUCGAACCAUCUAGUAGCUGGUUCCCUCCGAAGUUUCCCUCAGGAUAGCUGGCACUCCCUCGAUAGCGAGUCUCAUCAGGUAAAGCGAAUGAUUAGAGGCCUUGGGGUCGAAACGACCUCAACCUAUUCUCAAACUUUAAAUGGGUGAGAUCUCUGGCUUGCUUGAAUGUUGAAGCCACGAGAUCGCGCCUCGUUCCACGGGGCGGGGCGCCUCACGGAUCAGAGUGCCAAGUGGGACAAUUUUGGUAAGCAGAACUGGCGCUGUGGGA